GUGGCGGUGGGUGGCGGUGCGGCGACGGCAAACAAUCUGUGGGGGUGGAGGGGAUUGGCAAGGGAAGGGAAAGGAAGAGGGAGAGGCGAGAGCAGAGAAGGUGUUCGUUGAGAGGGUGCGUUUGGGCGCCACGCCAAAGGCGGCGGGGUAUUUCAAGGGGCUUCUGAGUCGCGAGCGUGGUUCACUCAUUCUAGCCCAAGAAGCUAAUCCGGUGGUAGGAGGUCCGGUUCUAUUCCCGGCCACAGAGACACCAGUUUUCUUCACAUCGGACCGAAACGAUGACACAUUUUCAUUCACAUCCGAAUUAAAAACGGGCCGCGGCAAUCCGGGAAUGGGCCUAGCAACGGGCCAUCCGGCCUAAACGAACGAGGCCUGACUUGCUCCGCUCUCUCCUCUCCUGAAGCUUCUCGCUCGCCGCCGCGCCGCAACACCGGCGGUGGUGGACUGGUGGAGCAGUUCCCUGACGGGGCUUAUGUGCGGCUGCGGAGCCGCGUGGACGGAGGAGGGUACCUCUGUCUCCACGCCGACGAGGACGGCGCGGGGGUGUCCCCGCGCGGGCACCGCGGCUCCCUGAGCGUAGCGUGGCAGGUGCACCGGGUCCUGCACGGCGGCGCCAGCGCCACCCGCGUCCUCCUCCACGGCGCCGCCUACGCCCGGUACCUAGCCUUCAGGCCCGAGAGCGCGCCGCCGCCGGGCCUCCGCGCCCGCCGCGCCUGCCGCGCGGUCCAGUGCGUCUGACGACGCCCCCGAGCAGGACGACGUCCUCUGGGAGGCCGUCGACGCGGGGGACGACGACGGCGGCGACGUCCUCAAUCCUCAUGCGCCACCACAGGUGUAUCUAAACAAGGCCAAAGCUGAGAAAGGGGUAGUGCAGCGCCAAGAGAAAGGGGUGGUAGACGGCGGCCGGCACCAGGCGGAAGAUGCGCGGCAGUGGAGCAGCAGCGAGGAGGGCAAGAGGAUGAGCAGGUUCACGAUGUUUUGUGACCGAUUGGGUUUGUGGCUUAACGCGGACGGACCCGCGAGGACCCAGAUCGAACCGUCUAGCUCGCGUUCUGGAUAGAUCCAAUGGUGUGAGGGCUAAUGGACGAUUUACGUGGCCUUAUCGGGCGCCCGGAUAAUUCUUGUUGGACUGUAUUAAUCUUGUUCGCCUUUCCAUUCCUACUGGUUAACUUACCUAAACAUUAUUGUCUACUCUAGUUUCUGU